rnacentral:rRNA from 1 species
GACGAACGCUGGCGGCGUGCUUAACACAUGCAAGUCGAGCGGAAAGGCCACUUCGGUGGUACUCGAGCGGCGAACGGGUGAGUAACACGUGAGUAAUCUGCCCCUCACUUUGGGAUAGCCACCGGAAACGGUGAUUAAUACCGGAUAUGACCAUAUGUCGCAUGGCGUGUGGUGGAAAGUUUUUCGGUGAGGGAUGUGCUCGCGGCCUAUCAGCUUGAUGGUGAGGUAAUGGCUCACCAUGGCUUCGACGGGUAGCCGGCCUGAGAGGGUGACCGGUCACACUGGGACUGAGACACGGCCCAGACUCCUACGGGAGGCAGCAGUGGGGAAUAUUGGACAAUGGGCGGAAGCCUGAUCCAGCGACGCCGCGUGAGGGAUGACGGCCUUCGGGUUGUAAACCUCUUUCAGUACCGACGAAGCGCAAGUGACGGUAGGUACAGAAGAAGCACCGGCCAACUACGUG